GCUACCUGGAGGCUUCAUCUACAUGACUUAAGCCAAGCCUCCCUUACUUUAACUUAAGCUGACUUCAUCUUUUCAGGUAAAGUUUAACUCUCUCAACCAACUGCCAGUCAGGAACUCUUUGAUCUACCUCUGACCUGGAAACCCCCAUCUUCAAGAUGUCCUGCCUUUCCAGGCCAAACCAGUGUAUACCUUACAUGUAUUGAUUUAUGGCUUUGCCUGGACCUUCUGUCUCCCUCAAAUGUAUAAAACUGUAACCCGACUACCUCGGGCACAUGUUCUAAGAACCUCCUGAGGCCCCAUCAUGGG
rnacentral:lncRNA from 10 species